GAAACACAAUAAUUAAUAUGAAUUGCAGAAUUUAGUGAAUUAUCGAGUCUUUAAACGCACAUUGCGCCCGCCAGUAUUCUGGCGGGCAUGCCUGUCCGAGCGUCAUUUCAACCAUCAAGCCCCCGGGCUUGUGUUGGGGACCUGCGGCUGCCCGCAGGCCCUGAAAACCAGUGGCGGGCUCGCUGUCACACCGAGCGUAGUAGCAAUCACCUCGCUCAGGGCGUGCUGCGGGUUACGGCCGUUAAACAGCCUUACAAAACCCAAGGUUGACCUCGGAUCAGGUAGGAAGACCCGCUGAACUUAAGC
rnacentral:misc_RNA from 1 species